UACGGGGGGGAGCAAGCGUUGUUCGGAUUUACUGGGCGUAAAGGCGCGUAGGCGGCCACCGCAAGUCGACUGUGAAAUCUCCGGGCUUAACUCGGAACGGUCAAGUGAUACUGUCGGACUAGAGUACAGAAGGGGCAACUGGAAUUCUCGGUGUAGCGGUGAAAUGCGUAGAUAUCGAGAGGAACACCUGCGGCGAAGGCGGGUUGCUGGGCUGAUACUGACGCUGAGGCGCGAAAGCCAGGGGAGCGAACGGG
rnacentral:rRNA from 1 species